AAACCAACAGGGAUUGCCUUAGUAACUGCGAGUGAAGCGGCAAGAGCUCAAAUUUGAAAUCUGGCACCUUCGGUGUCCGAGUUGUAAUUUGUAGAAGCAUCUUUUGGAUUGGUCCUUGCAUAUGUUCCUUGGAACAGGACAUCAUAGAGGGUGAGAAUCCCGUUCAUGGUGGGGAAUCCAAUUCUUUGUAAAGUGCUUUCGAAGAGUCGAGUUGUUUGGGAAUGCAGCUCUAAGUGGGUGGUAAAUUCCAUCUAAAGCUAAAUAUUGGCGAGAGACCGAUAGCGAACAAGUACAGUGAUGGAAAGAUGAAAAGAACUCCGAAAGGAGAGUGAAAAAGGACGUGAAAUUGUUGAAAGGGAAGUGCUUGAGAUCAGUCUUAAGGUUUAGUGAUCAGUCUUCCUUUUGGUUGGUGCACUCACUAUUUCUUAGGCCAACAUCAGUUUUGGCGGCAGGAUAAUGACAUUGGAAUGUGGCUCUUUCGGGAGUGUUAUAGCCUUUGUUGAUACUGCCUGCUUAGACUGAGGACUGCGCUUUUGCUAGGAUGUUGGCAUAAUGAUCUUAAGCAGCCCGU
rnacentral:rRNA from 1 species